AUUGAGUAGGAAGAAGAAUGGAAUGUGACACCGGUACAAAGGGCAUAGAGUAACACAUCAAAAUCUUCUUUGGCUGCUGUGCAAAUUGGAAAGAUUGUAAAUACUACUGAGAGUUGGUUAAGGAGUUGAGAUGUUUAGUUGUUAAAUGCAAAAAAGUGAGUUUAUAUUUUAAUAGGUCCAUUGAAUUCUCCAACGCCCCCGUUCCCCUUCUCUAAGAAGCCUUCCGUUCCACAAAAAAAAAAAAUUACAAAGAGUACCCUUGUGCUUUUGUGGUGAUUCAGAAUUAACCGCUGCUAUUAUAAAAUUUUAUUACACAUGCAAGUCUCAGCACCCCUGUGAAAAUGCCUUCUUUACGUAUUAGGAAUAAGGAGCGGAUAUCAGGCACAAUUUAUGCCCAUGACAUCUUGCCAAGCCACACCUCCACAGGAAUUCAGCAGUGAUAAACAUUGAAAAAUAAGCGUCAAUAAGCUUGAAUCAGUAAUAAUUCUAAGAGUUGGUAAAUUUCGUGCCAGCCACUGCGGUUAUACGAGAAACUCAAAUUAAUAAAAACGGCCUAAAGCGGGAGUAAACUAUAUUCAAAUAAAUAGAAAUACAAGUGAACUGAC
rnacentral:rRNA from 1 species